rnacentral:lncRNA from 1 species
AAUGGAACAGCAACGUCCACAACUGUCCAAAAGGAAAAGAAGUCCACCUAAGAUGCUGAAGGUGGCCCUCAUUUACCUCAGAGAAGUGAAUUUGAUAGUGAUGAGGAGGAAGACGACUCUGAAAACGUUGGGGCUGCAAGCAGUGGAAAAGCCAUCAGAAGUCCACUUCAACUUCUCAAGAAGAGCAGAGUGAGCCAGAGGUGCUGAAGAGGAGAAAACAGCAAAUGAUGUUGCUCACAAAUGCUUCCGACUAGAAUUCUACGGGGUGUCACAGCUGAAGAUAGUUAUCACAUAGCCGUAGAUGCACACCAGAAAGCCACGGACCAUCCUGCACCACAGCCAGCACAGUCCAUCGCGCUGGCUUCCCUCCCUGGACUCAGUGGACUGGUGGUUAUGGAUCAUGAAACAGCAAAGAGGGGAGGAGCCACAGGCUCCCCGAGUCAUCUGACACUGACGAGGAGGAACUAUGGCACCAAGCACAGCAAAAACAGGAAGCUUUUUGGAGAAAAGAAAAAGGAAUAGCGGCUGUUACAUGAUAAACAGAUGGGAGAAGAAAAAUAAACAAAAAAGGUUACAAAAGAGAUGAUGAAUUUGUCUCUAAAGUGCAAAAUGGUUUAUUACUACUAGAAGCACACGUGAUGUGGGUACUGAAAAGAAGAGAACUCCAAGUGAAACUACGUCCGUUUUGGAACCAAAGAAAGAGGAGAAAGAGAAACAAGGAAGGGGUGGAGCAGGAAGUUCUGGGAGUGGGCCCCGUCCAAGAGCAGAACCAGGACCAGGAGCUCUGUCUCCACUCUCCAUACGGCUCUGGCUCAGGAGGGGUCACACUUCCCCAUCCUCAUCUCCUAAAAGGAAAGACGCAGUAGAGGAGAUCUCCAGCAAUUAAAACUGGGCCCAGUAGGAGUAGAAGUUACUCUCACAGACUUAAAAAUAGAGAGCAGUGGGACUACAGGAAAGAUGAGCGCCAGGAGGAGACCGAAUAGAAACAGCGUUGAAAGAGAAAUAGAAGAAAUCGCAGUCCUUCUGAGAGAGACUAGAGCAGAAGUCACUCAAGAGAUAGGCGGACCAUUCAUCCAGGCGCAGUAGGAGAGGGGAAGGAUAAAGUUGACGGCCACUGUGGAAAUCUCAGUGGGAGCCGUGGAGCACAGAGAUCAACAGCCUCCCCCGGAACGCUGAGGAGUGACCUGGCAAGAGUGCCGUGAUGUUUGAGAAAUCCCACAGUUUCAAGGGCUGUCUCACUAUAGAGGCUGUGGGGCUCGCGUCUCAUGGGCCAAGAUGGCUGCCCAAGCUUGUGUGCCCACCAGCGGGAAGAAGAGCAAGGAGGGUGAACUCCACCAGCUGACAUCCGGUUGGCCAGAACUUGGCACACCCAGCUACAAGGAACGCUGGCUCUGUAGCUUUUACGAGAGACGUACCCAGGUCUGCUAGUGGUGGUGUUACUAAGAAAUAAGGGAAGAAGGUAUAUCGGGAACAACUGGCA